rnacentral:rRNA from 1 species
GGCGGCAGUAGCGCGGUGGUCCCACCUGACCCCAUGCCGAACUCAGAAGUGAAACGCCGUAGCGCCGAUGGUAGUGUGGGGUCUCCCCAUGCGAGAGUAGGGAACUGCCA